AGGACUGGGCAGCCUGGCUUGUGGG
rnacentral:misc_RNA from 1 species